rnacentral:lncRNA from 1 species
GCUUUGGAAGACACUCUGAAGUAAAGGUGAGAAGUUCUUUGUUCAAAAUGUUAACAACAGCUGUGGCCCUAGACAAGCAAAUGAAGCAUAGUUAUUUUUUAAAGAACACAAUUUAAAUGUUCAAACUGCACCUUUCCCUUGAAUUAUGUUGCUCACAAAGAAAAAAAAAUUUGAAAGGAUUGAUAAAACACCAUCAAAACAAAAUCGAG